UCGAACGCGAAAGUUCCCUUCGGGGAGCAAGUAGAGUGGCGCACGGGUGAGUAACACGUAGGUAAUCUACCUUCGGAUGGGGAAUAACAACCGGAAACGGUUGCUAAUACCGCAUAAUGCAGCGGCACCUAAUGGUGACAGUUGUUAAAGCGGGGGAUCGUAAGACCUCGCGUCUGAAGAGGAGCCUGCGGCGGAUUAGCUAGUUGGUAAGGUAAUGGCUUACCAAGGCGAUGAUCCGUAACCGGCCUGAGAGGGCGGUCGGUCACACUGACACUGACAUACGGGUCAGACUCCUACGGGAGGCAGCAGUCGGGAAUUUUGGGCAAUGGGCGAAAGCCUGACCCAGCAACGCCGCGUGAAGGAUGAAAUCCCUCGGGAUGUAAACUUCGCAAGAACAGGAAGAAUAAGUAAGGGUUAAUAUCCCUUGCGAUGACGGUACUGUUUGUAAGCUCCGGCUAACUCCGUGCCAGCAGCCGCGGUAAUACGGGGGGAGCAAGCGUUGUUCGGAUUUACUGGGCGUAAAGGGCGCGUAGGCGGCCACCGCAAGUCAGUUGUGAAAGCUCUGGGCUUAACCCAGAAAGGUCAACUGAUACUGCGGGGCUAGAGUGCAGAAGGGGCAACUGGAAUUCUCGGUGUAGCGGUGAAAUGCGUAGAUAUCGAGAGGAACACUGCGGCGAAGGCGGGUUGCUGGGUUGACACUGACGCUGAUGUGCGAAAGCUAGGGGAGCGAACGGGAUUAGAUACCCCGGUAGUCCUAGCCUUAAACG
rnacentral:rRNA from 1 species